rnacentral:rRNA from 1 species
AUUGAACGCUGGCGGCAUGCCUUACACAUGCGAGUCGAACGGCAGCACGGGAGCAAUCCUGGUGGCGAGUGGCGAACGGGUGAGUAAUACAUCGGAACGUGCCCAGCAGUGGGGGAUAACCCGGCGAAAGCCGGACUAAUACCGCAUACGACCUACGGGUGAAAGCGGGGGAUCGCAAGACCUCGCGCUAUCGGAGCGGCCGAUGUCAGAUUAGCCAGUUGGUGGGGUAAAGGUCUACCAAGGCGACGAUCUGUAGCUGGUCUGAGAGGACGACCAGCCACACUGGGACUGAGACACGGCCCAGACUCCUACGGGAGGCAGCAGUGGGGAAUUUUGGACAAUAGGCGCAAGCCUGAUCCAGCCAUGCCGCGUGCGGGAAAAAGGCCUUCGGGUUGUAAACCGCUUUUGUCAGGGAAGAAACGCUCCGGGCUAAUACCACGGAGUAAUGACGGUACCUGAAGAAUAAGCACCGGCUAACUACGUG